GGGGCUGUAGCUCAGUGGCAGAGCAUCUGCUUAACAUGCAGGAGGUCCCAGGUUCGAUCCCUGUUAUCUCCA